rnacentral:rRNA from 1 species
ACCCCUGAUGCCGUCGAGCCAAGAAAAGUUUCUAAGUUUAGCUAAUGUUGCCCGUACCGUAAACCGACACAGGUGGGUGGGAUGAGUAUUCUAAGGCGCGUGGAAGAACUCUCUUUAAGGAACUCUGCAAAAUAGCACCGUAUCUUCGGUAUAAGGUGUGGUUAGCUUCGUACUAGGAUUUACUCCGAAAGCGAAGAAACUUACAACAAAGAGUCCCUCCCGACUGUUUACCAAAAACACAGCACUCUGCUAACUCGUAAGAGGAUGUAUAGGGUGUGACGCCUGCCCGGUGCUCGAAGGUUAAUUGAUGGGGUUAGCAUUAGCGAAGCUCUUGAUCGAAGCCCGAGUAAACGGCGGCCGUAACUAUAACGGUCCUAAGGUAGCGAAAUUCCUUGUCGGUUAAAUACCGACCUGCAUGAAUGGCGUAACGAGAUGGGAGCUGUCUCAAAGAGGGAUCCAGUGAAAUUGUAGUGGAGGUGAAAAUUCCUCCUACCCGCGGCAAGACGGAAAGACCCCGUGGACCUUUACUACAGCUUGACACUGCUAUUUGGAUAAGAAUGUGCAGGAUAGGUGGGAGGCUUUGAGUAUAUGACGCCAGUUGUAUAUGAGCCAUUGUUGAGAUACCACUCUUUCUUAUUUGGGUAGCUAACCAGCUUGAGUUAUCCUCAAGUGGGACAAUGUCUGGUGGGUAGUUUGACUGGGGCGGUCGCCUCCCAAAUAAUAACGGAGGCUUACAAAGGUUGGCUCAGAACGGUUGGAAAUCGUUCGUAGAGUAUAAAGGUAUAAGCCAGCUUAACUGCAAGACAUACAAGUCAAGCAGAGACGAAAGUCGGUCUUAGUGAUCCGGUGGUUCUGUGUGGAAGGGCCAUCGCUCAAAGGAUAAAAGGUACCCCGGGGAUAACAGGCUGAUCUCCCCCAAGAGCUCACAUCGACGGGGAGGUUUGGCACCUCGAUGUCGGCUCAUCGCAUCCUGGGGCUGGAGCAGGUCCCAAGGGUAUGGCUGUUCGCCAUUUAAAGCGGUACGCGAGCUGGGUUCAGAACGUCGUGAGACAGUUCGGUCCCUAUCUGCCGUGGGCGUAAGAAGAUUGAAGAGAUUUGACCCUAGUACGAGAGGACCGGGUUGAACAAACCACUGGUGUAGCUGUUGUUCUGCCAAGAGCAUCGCAGCGUAGCUAAGUUUGGAAAGGAUAAACGCUGAAAGCAUCUAAGCGUGAAGCCAACUCUAAGAUGAAUCUUCUCUAAGCUCUCUAGAAGACUACUAGUUUGAUAGGCUGGGUGUGUAAUGGAUGAAAGUCCUUUAGCUGACCAGUACUAAUAGAGCGUUUGGCUUAUCUUUAAUAAAGCAU